rnacentral:rRNA from 1 species
UCGAAAGGAAGAUUAAUACCGCAUAAGAUUGUAGUAUCGCAUGAUAUAGCAAUUAAAGGAGCAAUCCGCUAUAAGAUGGACCCGCGUCGCAUUAGCUAGUUGGUGAGGUAAUGGCUCACCAAGGCGACGAUGCGUAGCCGACCUGAGAGGGUGAUCGGCCACAUUGGGACUGAGACACGGCCCAGACUCCUACGGGAGGCAGCAUG